CGGUAAGGCCUUUCGGGGUACACGAGCGGCGAACGGGUGAGUAACACGUGGGUGAUCUGCCCUGCACUUCGGGAUAAGCCUGGGAAACUGGGUCUAAUACCGGAUAUGACCUCCUAUCGCAUGGUGGGUGGUGGAAAGAUUUAUCGGUGCAGGAUGGGCCCGCGGCCUAUCAGCUUGUUGGUGGGGUAAUGGCCUACCAAGGCGACGACGGGUAGCCGACCUGAGAGGGUGACCGGCCACACUGGGACUGAGACACGGCCCAGACUCCUACGGGAGGCAGCAGUGGGGAAUAUUGCACAAUGGGCGAAAGCCUGAUGCAGCGACGCCGCGUGAGGGAUGACGGCCUUCGGGUUGUAAACCUCUUUCAGCAGGGACGAAGCGCAAGUGACGGUACCUGCAGAAGAAGCACCGGCUAACUACGUGCCAGCAGCCGCGGUAAUACGUAGGGUGCAAGCGUUGUCCGGAAUUACUGGGCGUAAAGAGUUCGUAGGCGGUUUGUCGCGUCGUUUGUGAAAACCAGCAGCUCAACUGCUGGCUUGCAGGCGAUACGGGCAGACUUGAGUACUGCAGGGGAGACUGGAAUUCCUGGUGUAGCGGUGAAAUGCGCAGAUAUCAGGAGGAACACCGGUGGCGAAGGCGGGUCUCUGGGCAGUAACUGACGCUGAGGAACGAAAGCGUGGGUAGCGAACAGGAUUAGAUACCCUGGUAGUCCACGCCGU
rnacentral:rRNA from 1 species